AGAAAUAAACAAACAAAAAAACCCCAAAAAAUCACUCAGUUCUGAGCAACUUCUUAGUAUAGAAGGUCUGAGGAAUUAUCCAAAUGGAUGGCUUAGAAACAUUAAAGCAGAUAAAUAUUUCUUAAAUCAGGAGAAACAAGAAUCACUCAGGGAAAUAUUUCCCCUGGCAGUGGGCUUUCUAAAGGGUUUCUGUCCUUGUAUUUUACCUUGUCUUCAUUCACUUAAAAGGUGUUUUCUCCCCUGUGCUGCUGGGGUAUUCCUGGAAGUGAGGAGUGUGUCUUAAACUCAGAUUAGGCUGAACUCAAAUGACACUGUAAUAUAACAAAUUGUAAUGAAUAAUGUGAAUUUCAUUGAAUAGAAAUCCAGCUGAAUUAAAAUUGUGUAUGAAUGAAAUGGGGGGUUUUGCUUUCUGUGCUUGCCCAUAAAAUAUCAUUCUUUAUGUAAUUCUUUCGCUUUUAAAAAAUUCAAAUUGUCUUUUAAAUCUAUGACACAGAUUCAGAAUGAAUGUAAGGAGGUACUACUAAACCAUUUUGUAUCAAUUUCCUUCACUUUACCCUGCAUUUAAUAAUGAGGACUUCUGACAGUCCAGACAUUUGUUCUGUUCUCUUGCAAGAAGCAGCAAAAGCUUCUUGUGAAUCCCAGGUUCUGCUGUCUCAGAUGUGCUUUUUUUUUCUGCUGGGAUGUGUCAAAUGGCAAAGAACCUAAUUCUGAUUCACAGACAUUCACAUUUAAUUAAUUUCAGUAAUUUAUAAUGUUUAAUUAAUGACUUGCACUGCCAGCUUUAUAAACUGGAUUUCUUUUAUCAGUAAAAGGGAAUAUUUUUAAAAACUGAAAAUUCCUGCACUGAAAAUGAAAAAAAUACCCAUCUACUAAAGAAUUUUAAAACAUGUAAAUUUUAAACAUUAAUUUUAAUCUAAGCAGCAUGGCUGUACUUGGGUGAGCAGUUCAAAACAGAGAAUUUGAAGAUUAUAAUGUGUGCAUUUGGGAGGAGGCAAUGUGUGUAUAUACUUGAUUCUUUUGGUAAAUAUACAAAGCAAAGGCUUUUGAAAUGAAUUUUGGUCAUUUGCAGACAGCCUCUCACCUGUGUCCUGUAGAGCUAAUGCAGCCUUCCACUGCUGUGCAUCCCACAGUUCCAACCUCCUGCCCAUCCUAAAACACUCAGUGGGAUCACUCUGAUGUCUGGAUGUCACAUGGAGCACCUUGGAAAGGACAAGCCUCAGGAGGAACAGUUAAUGUCCUACAUCACACUGGGAAAACAUAUUGAAACCAGCAGUUCAGGCUGAUGAGGCACAGCCACUAGAAGAAAGACAAUGGGAAGUGCAGAGCUACAUAGAAAUAGCCAGAAAAGGUAUCAUCUUUGCAUUUUUCAGCUUCUAUUAUUUCCAGCAGUGCAUAGUUUAAAGAACUUGUUUAGUCUGCUGCAAUCAGAUUUAUUGUUGCCACAUGAAUGAUGAUGGUUGUACAGUUUUUUACCCUUUCAUUACAUUGUUUUGGAGAGAAAAUGCAAGACCCUCAUUUACCUUUGACUGACUUUUAAGUCACAUCUGAAUUUGCCUCAAGGAGAAAUCCAUGGCAACUCAAAGUCUGAUUUUUUAGAAACAUGAAAAUAAAGUUCAGUAAAAAAUUACAUCAUUGGUGUUACAUCACUCUGGUGACUUUUUAAAUCUUUCUAAUUCUUCCAUUUUUUAGGGCAGGAAUCUUGGUUGCUCGGGGUUGGAGGUUUAUACGGCUAUAGCUCUAGGUAUUUUCUAGAAGCAUAAGUAAAUAUAAUAACAUGCACAGUGUAAACAUACCUCAUCAUUAUUCUUCUUUGUGCUUAUUUGAAAGUCAGCAUUAAGCAAAAACAUUCUGGGUGAUCUUAUUCCUUUGUUUCCUGAUUAAAAAUCACAAUGUCCAUUCUGCACACAAGGUCAAUGUCACAAAAUAAAAGUUACCCCAAAACUGAGAAGACCUUGAAGCUGUCCCAGGUGGAAUGGGAAGUUCCUGUGUGUUUUGUUUGUGUUUUGACAGCAGCCUGCACAUCUGGAGCUGUUCCAGCCAGACCAGGAGUGUGUGACCCCAGUGCCCAUUUUGGGCUGAACUCUCCUGUUUAUUCCUAUAACCCCACAGGCACCACAGCCACUGAAACAGAGCAGAUUCUUCCCAAAGGAGGGAAACCAACCUUUCAAAGACCUCUCUUUGCAACUUCUCCCUAAUCCUUUGUGCUUCUCUGUGCUUAUUUAAGAAUUGAUACUGAGGCCCAAAAGCUGCUGGAGGGAAUAGAAGCAGAAGAAGCAUGAAAUGACAAACUGCAGAAUUAGAAAUUCAAGAUCAGACAAAUUCUGGACCCUGGAGCCAAGGGAAAGGUUUGAUUGGAAGCAGAUGUGUCCUGCAGGUCAGCACCUGGCUGAAGAGCAGGUGCAAUUUAGGUUCCCACAGCCACUCUAAGGAUG